rnacentral:rRNA from 1 species
AUUGAACGCUGGCGGCAUGCCUUACACAUGCAAGUCGAACGGCAGCACGGGGGCAACCCUGGUGGCGAGUGGCGAACGGGUGAGUAAUGCAUCGGAACGUGCCCAGUAGUGGGGGAUCACCCGGCGAAAGCCGGGCUAAUACCGCAUACGACCUACGGCUGAAAGCGGGGGACCGUAAGGCCUCGCGCUAUUGGAGCGGCCGAUGUCUGAUUAGCUAGUUGGCGGGGUAAAGGCCCACCAAGGCGACGAUCAGUAGCUGGUCUGAGAGGACGACCAGCCACACUGGGACUGAGACACGGCCCAGACUCCUACGGGAGGCAGCAGUGGGGAAUUUUGGACAAUGGGCGCAAGCCUGAUCCAGCCAUGCCGCGUGCGGGAAGAAGGCCUUCGGGUUGUAAACCGCUUUUGGCAGGAACGAAACGGCGCAAGCUAAUACCUUGCGCUAAUGACGGUACCUGCAGAAUAAGCACCGGCUAACUACUUUCCAGCCGCCGCCGUAAGAC